rnacentral:rRNA from 1 species
GACGAACGCUGGCGGCGUGCUUAACACAUGCAAGUCGAACGGAAAGGCCCUGCUUUUGUGGGGUGCUCGAGUGGCGAACGGGUGAGUAACACGUGAGUAACCUGCCCUUGACUUUGGGAUAACUUCAGGAAACUGGGGCUAAUACCGGAUAGGAGCUCCUGCUGCAUGGUGGGGGUUGGAUAGUUUCGGCGGUUGGGGAUGGACUCGCGGCUUAUCAGCUUGUUGGUGGGGUAGUGGCUUACCAAGGCUUUGACGGGUAGCCGGCCUGGGAGGGUGACCGGCCACAUGGGGACUGAGAGACGGACCAGACUCCUACGGGAGGCAGCAGUGGGGAAUAUUGCACAAUGGGCGGAAGCCUGAUGCAGCAACGCCGCGUGCGGGAUGACGGCCUUCGGGUUGUAAACCGCUUUCGCCUGUGACGAAGCGUGAGUGACGGUAAUGGGUAAAGAAGCACCGGCUAACUACGUG